UAUUCUCUCUGGAAACACAGUGCUAGAGCCUCCUACACAAACAAAUAGUCCACAGUUCUGUACUCAUAUAGUAUACUACAAUGUCAUAAUCCAAUAUGUGGCAUUAGCUAAAGAAAAAUAAAUAAUAAAAUUGCUGAAAUACUCUAAGUUGCACUGUACCACUGUAGAUUUUGCCAUUUGUUAGAUUGUACUAUUUUUUAUAGUCAUGUUAUACUUAAUAGUUUAAUGCAUAGGCAUCCAACUCCAGAAUUAUUGGUACCCUGUACAAAAAUGAGCAAUAAUUCAUAUUCAUAACACUAUAAUUUUAAGCAACCUAUUUACUUCAAAACUAGUGCAAAUUUCUCUCUAGAAAAAAAAUAUCUUUAAAAUUAUGUGCUUCUCCAGCUUUCUUCCUGUAAUGACAAGGUUGGAGAACACUAGAGUGUGAAAUUUCACUGCAGAACAUUGUCUUGAAUCUGUAACAAAGAGAGCUUGGGAUAAGACUUUUUAGUGUUUUUUUUUUUUUCCUUUUAAAUGACUUCAAAACAAAAAGUUGAUAGAGAGAAAGGAGGUGAGCAUAAACACAAUCAGUGUAAAUUUUCUAAUAGAAAAUUUUAACAUUAAACCAGGAACCGACUGACCAAAGACUACACAGAGCACUGAAAACGGCAGUUUAAAACUGCUGGGACUUGGAGUUCAUUACAACAUCUCCAUGCUUAAUAUUUUGGGCAGCCUCCCAUGGAAAGAAAAACAGCACUGAGUGUCUUCCCAUAAUGUUUAACAAGGUUGGAGAACACUUUUAACACAUUUUAUUCCUAUGUUUUAUGCAUAUAUGCUGCCCUUUUCAAUCCCAACCACCAAGUUUCCAGCAGAGUUCAAAUCCUGAGACCAAAAUGUAAAUUGCUAAAUACUGAUUUUGUAAUUUUGUGUCAAUGUAGAUAUAUAUUUUGGGGACAUUAACUCAUUGAAAGUUCCACUUAUGGAACUUAUGUAACAAGUCCUAACCUCCUGAAUUCACAGUGACAUUAUUCUUCACAAGAGCCCUGGACCACUGGCCAAAACACACACCCCAAGGCAGCCUUAAAUCAGACCUUUUUUACAGAGGAUAUGAGGUUAUUUCCUAGUAUUUAGACCCCAUUUUUGCCAAGUAUUCCGACGGUGUGCAUGCCCAAAAUUUUUAAUUUGUGAACGAUUGUGAACCCUUGACCAGAUUUUCUCCCUAGCUAUCUGGCUGAACAAUCUGCUAGAAGAACGGCACCAUUGUCAACCCACUAGGCAGUCCAAUAACUCAGCAGUCAUUGCCCCCAGGCCUGUGGCGAUUGACAAGAAACACUUAACACCUCUUGGAACAGAGUUAACAGAGUCAGGAGUGGUUUUAGGCAGGGUUGUGUCUCUGCCUAUCAAAAGCCUGUAAGGUCCAGUCUCAAGUUUUGGUGGACCAUGUUUAUUAUACGUGUCAGUGUUACUGUGGCAGCGAGGACGGAGAGGAGGAGAAUGCCAUGCACGAGAGUGCAAGAGCUAGGCUGAGCUGAACUUUUUGCGUUCACAAGAACAGAAGGGCUGAAAAGCACACACAGAAAAGAAAAAGGACACAGGAAGCUCCAUAAAGAGUCCAAUUAUUAUUUUGGAAUAUUCUCUUGAACAGUGCCAAUAAUUUUGAAGUUGACAGUAUUCACAUCUUAUAAUCUGUUUGUUCUAUGUUCUUGUUCAUUUUAGAGUCAUAUUACAGUGCCCAUUUGAAAUAUAAGAAUUUCUACUAUAUAUAUAUCAUGGUAAUUAGAUUACUGUAAAAGAGACAGACUAUACUUUUACCUGAGUAGGAGUGGGACAGUGGUAUACAGAGUUCUGAUGAAUGCUUUGCAGGUGUUUAAGGAUGUGUCCUGCUCCUAUUGCCCAGCCCAACUGAACAUGAGUAGAAAGGAUUAGAAAACUGGGUCACAAUGAUUAAACAACACAGCUAAUCAGAAUUACUUUACAAUUUGUAUUAGAAAUUUAACAUAUAGUUAAGUAUGUUCACAGUUAAGUGAGCAGAGUGGCAAAUUAAUAAAGAAAUUGUGCACACUUGUAUUCAGAGCUCAGGUAGAACUACAAUCUGACAAUUAGUUAGUAACACAAUAUGUCACCCUGAAAAUCAUGUUUUGGAGGACAUUGGAAGAGACGUGGCUCUAGCAGAUAAGUGCUUGAUCAGCAUAUCCUUCAAACCAUGGGCACAUUUUCCUUACAGGAGAGCACAUAGAAUUGACAAUACUAAUUUAUAAAUUCAACAGUCCAAAAUGGACUGGCCUGUCCAGUCAUUUACUGCAACUCAACAGUAGAGUUUUUCACCCUUAUUGCUUUCUGCCACUUUGUGUCUAAUACUAAAUAACUAGUAAUUAAGUACUAAAUAAAAUGCUAUUUUAUUAGCUGUCAUAUAUUAAAUAAAGAAAAAUGGUGAUUACAGUACAGUGAUUAAAGUAAUAGUUAUAACUAGGACUGUUCAGACAGCAAUAUAAUUGGCAAUAAACUAGACUCCUAUUAGAUGUUUAUUUGAAUGCUUGCCAUAUUCUCAUUUAUAUAUCAUUGUAUGAAUCUUUCUUUUUAUAUGUUAAUUUUUUAAAUUGUAUCUUGUUUUUAUGUUACAUCAUACUGCAAAGGGGGGAAAACACAAUUUACUUAUUCUGUCUAUUUUCUAUACCCCAAUGUUUUUGGGCUUAAAAAAGAAUUAUGUGCCUCCUAUGCAUAAAUGCUUUGCUGGGUUAUCUGUCAGGCUGGAUUGUCUUAAGGACUUCAAGACUAUCCUCACAUGUGCAAUGGCCAAUCAUUACUAUAUAUUAUCUAAAUGAGAUUUUUUUGCUAAAAUGUAGCUAGCACACAGAGCAUCUGUCAAAUUGGUGCAAACCAAAAGGGGUACAACGGACUCCAAUAUACCAUGGUCAGAUCCAAAGUUAAAUAAAAAUGAUUCAAACCUACCCGAUCCCAAAGCUCAUCAGCAGGAUAGGCAUCAAAUUUUGAAUAUGCAUUCACCUUGUGACAGGUGCACAGAAAUGGGCUGCCCAUCUGGCUUAGGCACAAGCACAAGGGGGUAUUUUAGUCACUGUGUGACUCUUCUGGUAUUCCCAUCUCUAUUAUUUUACUCAGUUCAUCCUGAACAACUAUUUUGUUUUGGUCAAGCAAGUGAUGUACACUAUAUUGCCAAAAGUUUGUGGACACCAGAACAUCAAACCCAUAUGUGCUUUUUGAACAUUCCAUUCCAGAUUUAGUUGCUGCUUUGCUAUUAUAAUGACCUCCACUCUUCUGGGAAGGCUUUCCACUAGAUUCUGGAGCGUGGCUGUGGGAAUUUGUGCCCAUUCAGCUACAAGAGCAUUAGUGAGGGCGGGCGAGAAGGCCUGGGGUGCAGAUGGUGUUACAAUUCAUCCCAAAGGUUUUUAGUGGGGUUGAGGUCAGGGCACUGUGCAGGUCACUCGAGUUCAUCCACGCCAACCUUGGCAAACCAUGUCUUCAUGGAGCUGGCUUCGUACACAGGGGCACUGUCAUGCUGGAACAUAUUUGACCUAGGCCCCUUACACAUACCAUAUGGACAUGUGGUCUCCAUGUCCGAAUACCUCAGUUAAGGUAUUUCUUAAGGUUGAAUCAUACAAAGACAUUCUAGACAAUUGUGUGCUUCCAACUUUGUGGCAAAUGUUUGGGGAAGGCCCACAUAUGGGUGUGAUGGUCAGGUGUCCACAUACCUUUGGGCAUAUAGUGUAGCCGGCUGAGCACAGAAAGACUAUCUGCAAAUGGGAACAGAGUGUCUAGCAGUCUGGUCCUAACCCAUCUCUGUCUUCCACUGCCACUGCCAGAGUAACAUGGACUGCCUCAGUCAUAAAUGAUGUACCCUGAUCCGUUAGGAUCUCUUGUAGUAUCGCAACUUAAAGGAAGCGCUACCCAACAAGACACAUACCAAUUUUUAAAGAGACCUACAAAAGACCAAUUUUUAAGGAGAUCUCGAUAAGUGGAAAAGGGUCCAAUAGUCAGCAGAUCUACCAUUCAAGGUCAGACACUCUUAAACAAAACUCCUUGCUGAUUCGCACUCUGCAUGUUGCUUCUGGAUUGGGGUAGGGCAGCGGGAUCUGAGGAGACCCAAAGCACUUGAUCCAACUCCAUUGGGGCAGUCUGCCUGGAAGUGAUUCACCCUCCACAGCCCCAACAGACCUGCCUCAGAAGUUGGAAAUUGGCUAUAGUUUGCAGCAGCUCCUUUUGGUCCAAUGCUGGGGUAGAUGAAAUUUUGGGCAUGGCAAGGACGACGUGCAGAUUUCCUAGGGUACUUGAAUAUGGACAUGUGGUCUCCAGCUAGCUGUAUGGCCUCAG